CAAUACAUGGAAACGCUGGUGCUUGAAACACUGUGAAGUGAAACAAUUUAAGAUCUGGGACGGUGAGUGCCCUUUGGAAAGUGCUUAAACAAAACCGGAACCAGUUUUAGAUUAACGAGAGUGUUCCUGGAGGUUCAAAUGGAGAUAGGACCUGGCUUUCUUCUUGUGCUUUGGCUGAAGAGUACUGGACAAAGAUAGAUGUCUAUUUUCUUAUUUUCUGUUCCUUUUUUAAAUCCAAAAGGUGCUCCAGGUAACUUGCAUUCCCAGUAGGAUAUCUACAAAACAAUAAAAUUCCAGCCUUUUCCUACAGUAGUGUACAAAUUUUAAAAACUGCAGUCUACACUGUUUUCAGAAUACCUAGUAUUAAUGUACAUGAUGGCUGCACAUUAACGUUGCCUAGUUCUUGCAUAACUGAUCUCACUUUAACUGUUUCACAACUUUUUAUCUAGCCAUUUUCCAGCUCUGUAUCGGUUAUGGUGGGUAACAUUGAAUAUCUGCGGGGCAGGAUAUCUGCUAGCCUAAUAUUGAGGGUGCCACCCUUGCCCCUGCUAUCAUAACUAGGCCACUAGGCCACUCAGCUUAUUCUCAAUGCAAAUAUUUUAUGUCUGACUCUGCUCUUUCAUUUCUAAUUAAUUCAUUGUGUAUCCUGAGAGAUCUCUUUUUUAAAAACAACAACAACAACAGCAGUCCGUCAUCAAAUGAUGAUGUCUUUGGAUUUAUUGGUGUUUAGACAUGUCUAGAUAAAAAUAAACUGCUAUGGGAGCUAAAGUUGAGAAGAACUUGCAUACCGGCAAGCUAGGAGCAGAAUGGCCAAAUAGCUUCUUAUUCUUUCUAGAAAGGUUUUUCUGAGUGUAAGCUGCUUUCCAGUUUCAAGUUGUGUCGCAGUUUUUUCCUAGCUCACAUGUUACCCUACUUAAAACACUAGAAUGAAGUGAUGGAACACUGUUUUAGAAAAUUCAUUGUGUGUGUGCUUUUUUAGGCGACCCAGAGUGCUUUGCUGUAAUUUCAGUAGCCCCUUUCCCAAUUAUCAAAAUGGAUACCCGGUGGACCACUUGGCAGAACUCGGUGCUAGAAAAAUUACUGUACUAAUUUCUUGCUUGAAAUAUAUAAAUUAUUUCUGUUGUAUAGAGUUGCAUUUUUAUCAGAUUAGUUUUAAGUAGCAACAAACACAAGCUCCUCUCAUAUCAAUCUUAAAUUUUAACCUAUGCUUAACUGAAUAAAAGCCGCUCUGCUCAAAGAGGUAAGAUUAGCAGAGCAGUGCCUUGGCAGCUGCAGUUCAAUUCUGAACAUGGUGGGUUUCUCACUGUUCAUAUAUCGAAUUAUUCUUUUUUGAACUCUUAUUCUUAAAAGUAUUUAUUAAAAAGAAAAAAAGAAACAAGAACCAAAGGAAAACCAGAUGAUUCUCGUAAGCUCUGAAAUACAAUAGGUGUAGUUUUUAAUAGUCCACAUCAAUCCACAUUUUUUAGCAUUGGUAUGAUAUUGUAAAGACAUUCCUUUUCCAAGUUUUCCUAUUCCUUUAAAGGAUCUCAGGGAGGUAAAUUGGUCAGCCAUAAUUUAUUUUUGGAGAGAGAAAAAAAAUAAUUUUUAAAGAGAUGUUUUGAACUUAAGUCCCAGAUGUGUGUAUUUUGCACAGCUUUUUUUAAAUGAAUGAACCAGAAAGAAUUAGGCCUAUAUGCAUUUGGCCCCUUCCCAGCAAAAACCUGAUCUACGGGCAUGGGCAAUAGGAGUGCAUCUUCAGUGGCUUCCUAGAAUAAGGCCUUUGGAGUAGGAAAAAAACUGUGUGUGUUGAAUAAAAUUGCUCAAUAUGGUGAGCACCACCCACCAAGCGCUGCUGCUCCAGUCAUUUUAGUGCGGCUUUUUGUGGGCCGUCAUUCAAAUAGUGCAUAGCAGCAGGGGUUGGCGGGUUCUGCCUGGUGGAAUAUGCCCUUUAGGUUAGGUAACAAAAGCUUUAACAGUAACAAACUGCUCACUGGCUUACCAAUUCAAUGAAAUCCUCUUUGGGUUUUCUUUAGUUUUCUCCCUUUUAAAAAAAAUAUAUAUAUAUGUGUGCCUCUGGCAUAUUAGCCUGUUAGAAUAAAGUAUGCAAAUCUGUCUUUGGCACAAGUGGUGUGACUGAACUGCAUUUGGCUGAAAUUGUCAGCUAAGCAUUCAAACUUCUUUUGGGCCGCAUUUUUAGCUGUUGCGUUGCGAACUCUGCAAUCGAUAACAACAACCCCUCCCUUUUCUUUUAAAGAAAAGCAUGUUUAAAAAUGGAAUUUCCUUCACUUUUCUGCAUUUCAGUUAGCCAUACAGUAGUUUUGAGAGCAUGUUUUUAAAAUACUAGUGUAGAAGACGGGCCAGAAAUGCUUCGUAGCAAGUGGCACAGAAAGCAGGCGAGGACAAAGCACAGUGUUAACAUUUGCAAGUUUCAAUUUUUACACUUUAUAUAUACACACACAGACAAACACACACACACACACACACGUACGUGCACACCAUACGCACAACAGUUUGCUUGACUUGCUCAGUUUGAAAUAGUCAUGCAAAGGGAACAAUAAGAAUAAGAAGAAAACCAAUUGGAUAGGCAGUUUUGAUUGAAAAUCUUUUGCUUGUUAAAAAUCAGUUAGAUUUAAAAAUUGGGCAGUAGUUGUACUCAUUGAGACACUUCCAUCUGCCUUAUCAGUACCAUUUUCAGUCUACUUUUUUAAAAACGACAAGAACCGUAAACGUAAAUUAUUGAAAAUUUAUUACUUGCUGACUAUAAUAACCUUUGCUUGUAUGUAACCGAAAAAAAAUGGUUUUAAGAGCCAACAUUUAGAAUAUGACAAUGGAGCUGAACAGUUUUUAAUGCGCAAGCAGUUCUGUUCUUGUGUAUGACUUGUAACCUUAAUUUACUGUGUAAAGAUGGUUACAUUAUUUCUUUAGCUUUGUUUGUUUGGAGACAAAUAGAGAAUGCUUGUUUAAGUAUGUCAAGACAUAAUUUUAUCUUGUGGAUUUUUACGUUAAUGUAUUAUACGAGCUAUAUUUUUCAUUUGCCCAGAAAGACAGCUUGUAUAACGCUUUUGAAAGUUUUCUGCUCUGUAAAGUCUUUAGAGCUGACAGUCCUGUUAAGUUUGUUUAAUCUUCAUGCUAAAAGUGUCAAUGGUGGUUUUGUGAACUGGUCAGAAAAAUUCACAGGUCUUAAAUGUUUUCGGAAAAUUUAUAUUGGACACUGCUCUUUGUCUAGCAAAUAAAAGAUGUUAAUAUAUUCCUGUUACCGGCAUGUGCACGACUGUUAUUAGAAGCCACUUUAUCAUUUUCCUGCUUUAAAUAGAAAUGUCUAUUUAUGAAUUCUGCUUGUAGUUUUUUCACAAAUAAAAUAGUAACAUUUAAUU
rnacentral:lncRNA from 1 species